UACAUGGGGUGCAAACGUUGCUCGGAAUUAUUGGGCGUAAAGCGCACGUAGGCGGUUUGUUAAGUCGGAUGUGAAAUCCCUCGGCUCAACUGAGGAAGUGCAUCCGAAACUGGCAAGCUUGAGUACGAAAGAGGGUCGCGGAAUUCCCGGUGUAGAGGUGAAAUUCGUAGAUAUCGGGAGGAACACCGGUGGCGAAGGCAGCGAUCUGGGUAGAUACUGACGCUGAGGUGCGAAAGCGUGGGGAGCAAACAGG
rnacentral:rRNA from 1 species